AAAACCCAAGAAACAAGUGUCAAUGAGGAGAUGGAGAAAAAGGAACCCUCUUUCAUUGUUGGUGGGAAUGCAAACUGCUGCAGCCAAUGUGGAAAAUGGUAUUGAGGUUUCUCAAAAAAUUAAAAAUAGAACUGCCAUAUGAUGCAGUAAUCUCAUUACUGGGUAUUUACCCAAAGAAUAUAAAAGCAAUGAUUCAAAGGAUAUAUGCACCCAUAAUAUUGUUAAUAAUAUUUUAAAUGGAUGCCUCCCAGUUCCUUGAGAAAGACCAGUUAUAAAACUACCUAGGGACUUUUGGGGCACCUGGGUGGCUCAGUCAGUUAGGCAUCCAACCCUUGAUUCCAGCUCAGGUCAUGAUCUCAGGGUUCAUGAGUUUGAGCCCCGUGUCAGGCUCUGUGAAGACAGUGCAGAGCCUGCUUGGGAUUCUCUCUCUCUCCCUGCCCCUCUCUGGCUCUGGCUCUCUCUCUCUCUCUCUCUCUCUCUCUCUCUCUCUCUCUCCCCCUCUCCCUCUCUCUCUCAAAUAAAUAAACUUAAAAACAUUUUUUAAUUAAAAAACCCACAAACUACCAAGAGGCUUUUAAAAAAUAUUUACAUCUCAAAGGGACAGAGAAAUAAUUUGCAGUUACAGAUUUUCUAAAGUAAAUACCUAAGAAAGGGGAUGAAGGAAACUCUAUGGCAAGAUCAUCUGGAUUCUGUAAGAGCCAGGUGGCAGGGAAGUCAGAGGCCACAAGUCAGGAAGAAGCAUGUCUAAAUUUCUGUGAAGGCAAGGAUAACAUUAAGGUCAAUAUACAUCAUCUGCACCAGUGUUCACAGCAAUCUUAUGAGACAGACAUUAUUUUCUUUCCAAUCAGAUGAAUCUCAGUGAUUUAAGACAUUUGGCAAAAUUCAUAAGUCCAUUUAUGGUAAACCCAAGAUUCAAACUUAUCUCUAUUAACUGCACAUUAUUUUUUUCUAACCAGAAAUUUUUGACUAAUAUGAAACAUUGUUGUCUAAAUUAUCACUCUUCUAUCUUCUACUUUUUUUAAUGCAAUGGAAAGCUAAAUUAAUAAAGAAUCCAGGGGAAAAAAUGAGACAUUAAUAGACUCUAAAAAGCUGCAGAAGUUCCAAAAGAGAUUUGAAAGGUUAGGGAUCAAAGGCCUCAUGUUUUGAAAUUGCACAUUAUCUAUGCCGAAUCAUUAUACUAAUGAGUUCCCACUGUAGAGUUCACAUUUAUAAAAAGAGGGCUUUCAUAUUCCAGAUGUAGAGUCAAAUCUUCCUAAUGCAUUUCCUUUUCCCUUUGGAAAUAGCCUUACCUCAUUAAGUCCAGGAAGACAUUUUUUCCAAAGGCUGUCUCUCUUUGAAUUGAUAACUUUAUUUUUUUUAACAAAAGUCUACCAGGAAACUUUACUGUAAUAUGAUAUACUCAUAUCUAAACACAUUUUUUUCAUUGUCACAUUACAAUAUAUGGAAAAUAUGUUCCACUUGUAGUCUAGUUUGUAACUUCUCAUAUCUCUUAUACUGACACAACAGAGGACCCUCAUGCUAAUCUAUAUAAGAUGCUAGUCCUGUCUUCCCCAGUGAAGUUCAAUGGUUUACAGUUAUUUCUAAUGGUAUAACCUUUCUUUGGAUGCACAGUCACAUGUAAAACUAAUAUGCAAAGCAAACUAAAGCUUAGUGUCUCUGUUUGGAGAAGGAUUCGGACUCAGAAAUCUUCAUGUCUAUGACCAGUACCUUUUAGCAUCCCCAGAGGAACUUUUGCAAGAACAUGCCGCUCCAUAGAAAUCGUUUAGAAAAGAUCUACCUGGUAUAAUAAUCUCCACAUAUUUAGAUAAGAAAACUGAAGGGAAGAAAGAGAAUAAUCCAUGUCUUACAUUUUACAAAUAGUAUAAAAUAAAACCUUAACCAUGUUAGUCCUGGUCCUGUAUAAUUUCUAGGUUUGCUACUUCUCAAAUAAUUAGAAAUCCAUAUAGAAUUAAAAGAAAAGUUCAAGAUUUAAAUGUUCAAGUAUAAAAACAUGUGUCCUUCUGGACUUAAUUCAAUGAAAAGAUUAUUUCAUGUAUUUGAUUGUCAUAUGUCAAUGUUAUCAUGUUCAUUUAAAAAAUGGAUGCUUACGGGGUGCCUGGGUGGAUCAGUCAGUUAAGUGUCUGAUUUUGGCUCAGAUCAUGAUCUCACAGUGUGUGGGUUUGAGCCCCACAUCAGACUUUGCAGUGACAACUCGGAGCCUGGAGCCUGCUUCAGAUUCUGUGUCUCCCUCUCUCUCUGCCUCUCCCUGCUCAUGCUCAUGCUCUGUCUCUCAAAAAUGAAUAAACAUUUACAUUUUUAACAAAAUGCAUAUUCAUGACAUAAAAUUAAUGAAGCUUAUACAUUUUGCCCUUACUUCUGGUGUACCAAAUUCCCAACUUCGGUUUUUCUCAAACAAGUUAGCACUGAUGGUUUAUCUUUUGGGAUUUUAUGAUGUCAAGAAUAGAGGCCUUUAGUUGGAAAUCUAGAAUAUUAUGCUAUUGGAAAAACUGAUAUCAAAAUCGUCAUUCCAGUUGUUACUUCUACCAAUUAAACUCCAAAAUUACUUGGAUAUCUAAUUCUCUCUCGAAAGGCUUCUUUUUUCCCCGCUUGCUAACUCAGUUAAUUUAUAAUAUUAUUACACUAUUCAUUCACCAUUAUCUCUCUGUCAAACAGUAUAGUAGGCAUUAAGGUUAAUAGAAAAACAUGGAUCACAGAUAUAGCUUUCUGAAAUGAGCUUCCUAUCCGUUUGGAAUCCUUCCUGGUUAGAUCCACGUAGUGUGGUCCUGCAUUUCUCUCAUAUUUCAGUUCCUAAGUGUACUUGCAUACUCCUGGCUCAGUCUUUUCUAGGGAAAUAACGUUCCAGGUUGUGACAGAAAUUUCUUUAAUGUUAAGUGUAUUCUCUGGGGGACAAUCCUUUUCCCUCUGAGUAAUUAAAAAUAUCCUUUUUCUUUUGCAUCUAAGUAUUUUGAGAUUUUUCUCAGUGAUCAUAUCCAUAAACAUUCUACCAAUAGAUAUACAAGGAAAAUUAAAGUUAUUUGUUAAAGCACCUUUCCCACUUAUUUUAAGGUUAAGUUCAUUUUUGUACUUGCAGAUAUCACAGUGCGCCUUUAAGUUCUACCACAAAAUAGGUCUAUGAUAGGUAAAAUUUAUAACAGCAUGUAACAAACUUGAUUUUCACAUCUAUGCAAGUCUUGCCCAAUAUUUUAUGAGAAAAGCAGUGGCAAUAAAUAAGCUUGACGGAGCAAUUAAACAGUAUAUUUUCACGAUCAAAACCCUAAACAUUUACAACACUAAAUGCUGAUGAGGGUGCGGGAACAACUGGAACUGGUGCAUUACUGGUAGCAAUGCAUAGGUGGAGCAUGGGGCAUUUUUAGAGUUGUGAAACUAUUCUCUUUGAUACAAAAGUGGAGGAUGCAUGAUACGCAUUUAUCAAAAUCCAUAGAUCCAUUCAACACAAACAGUGGUCCCUAAUGUAAAUUGCAAAUUCUAGUUAAAAAUAAUGCAUCCAUAUUUGCUCGUCAGUUUUAACAAAUGUAUGACACUAAAUGAAGAUGUUAGUAAUAAAAGGAAACUGUGGAGCCUAAGAAAGAGGGAAUUAAUGAGAACUCUGCACCAUCUGCCUAAUAUUUGGUAAACAUAAAUCAAAACAUGAAGCCUAGCGAUUUAAAAAAAAUUAAAUACUUAGCUAUAAGCCUAGAAAAACAUGUACAAGCCUUUCAUGCUGAAAACUAGAAAAUGCUGGUAUGUAUAAAUGGAGAAAUAGACCAUGUUUAUGGGUUAGAACUCUCAAUAUGGCAGAGAUAUAAUUUAUUUCCAAGUGGAUAUACACACAUAACACAAUUUGUAUGAAAAUAAUAGCAGGAUUUUUUUUUAGAUACAGACAUGGUUAUUAUAAAGUGUAUAUGGAAAAAAAGAACUAGCGUAGCCAAAACAAUUUUGAAAAAGGAACAUAUGAUCAGAGGAAUCAAUCUACCUAAUUUCAAGAUUCCAUAUAGAGGGAUAGUUUAAUUAAGGCCAAGUGCAUGCUGUUUUGAGGAUGGUCAGACACAAAGAUAAAUGACAUAGAAUAGAAUACUUCAAAAAUAAACCCAUGCAAGUAUGCCAAAUGAUUUUUGACAAAUGUGCAAAAGAAAUUAAAUGGAGAAAAGAUAACAUUUUUAGCAAAUAGCACUGGUGGUACCAGAUAUCCAUAGGCCAAAACAAACAAAAAAUAAUGGUAAUCUUGACUUGAUUUUCUUCCUAAAAAAUUAACCCAAAAGUGCAUCACAGACUUAAUUGUCAAAUGUAUAGCUAAAUAAAAUACAAAAUAAAAUGUAAGAGAACAUCUUUAUGAUCUAGAGCUGGAAUAGAUAACGUUCUAAGACUUGAAAUGCAAAGUAUGAUCCAUAAAACGAAAAAAUGAUCAAAUUGACUUCAUUAAAAAUUGAAAUAUUUUACCCUAAAAAAGACCCUGUCAGCUGAUUCAGCAACUAUCAACUGGUAAAAAGUACUUGUAAAGCACAUAUCCAAGAAAAGGCUAAAUCUAGAAUAUAUAAAGAACUCUAAACAGUAAUAUGUAUACCCACACAUACACACACACAAACUCACACAUAUAUAUUAGAAACGGCAAAAGAAUUGGGCAGAAGACAUUAUUAACAUUUCACCAGAGAAGACAUACAAAUGACAAGCUCAAUAAAAAUAUAUUAAAAUGACAUUAGUUAUUAGGAAAAUGUAAAUUAAAACCACAAUGAGAUAUCAGUGUGUACUAAUCAGCAUGGUUAAAAUAAAGAUAAGGACAUCAGCAAAUGCUGUUAAUGAUUCAGGAUAACUGGAUCACUUAUACAUUUCUGGUUGGAAUCUAAAAUGGUGUAUGUACUCUAAAAAACAGCUCAGCAGUUUCUUAAACUCAAAACAUUGUAACCGGCAGCUACACUUUUGGGCACUCAUCUAAGAGAAAUGGGAAUUUAUGUUGACACAAAAACCUGUAAUUGACUGUUUAUAUUAGCCUUAUUCACAAUAGCCACAAAUUGGAAAAACCCAGAUAUUAAACAAACUGUAGUUCGUCAAUACCAUGGAACACUAGUCAGCAAUAAAAAAGAAUUAACUGUUGAUAUACCAUAAAUAUGUAUGAAUCUCCAGAUAAUUAUGCCAAAUGAAAAAAAGCCACUCCUCAAAAUCACACAGUGGUAUACUACAUGAUUCCAUUUAGACAACAUUUUUGAAAUAACUAAAUUAUAGAAAUAGAGAACGUAUUAGUGGUUGCCAGGAGUUAAGAAAGAGGUAGGUGUGGGAGGGAAGAGAAUGUAGCUAUAAAAGUGAAAUCAUUGAGAAUCCUGUGUUGAUGGAAUAUUCUCUAUCUUGACAUUCUCAAUGGUGAUAUCCUGGUUGUGGUACUGUAUUAUAGUUUACAAGAUUUUUUCAUUAAAGGAAACUUGGAAAAGGGCACAUACUUUCUUUCUAUAUUGUUCUAUACUAUUUAUGACUGUAUAUGAAUCUACAACUUUAUCAAAAUAAAAAGUUUAAUUAAAGAAGGAAAAAAAUAUAGAUAUAAAUAUCUCUCUAUAAAUAUCCAACACAGAAUCAUUGCUUAAAUAAAAAAUAUAUAUACAGUAGAUAUAUAAAUAUACUAAAAAUUUUCGGACAAAGUCAUAAGGGAUAUACCAAAUUGAUUUAUCUGUCAUUUCAAUAUUUUUAAGUUGUAAUUUCCUGAGAAUAUGAAAAAGUGAUGCUUCCUUCAAAUUUAAAUUAAUUCAGUGCUACAUAGAAAUGCAUUCAAACCUAUUAGGAAGAAAAGAGAGAAAACAAUCAAGUGAGUAAGACUUGUACAUAUUCCAUGUGUAAUAGUUUAAUGGAAAUAUAAACUACCUGGUAUUAAGAGCUGAAAGAUGGGGCGCCUGGGCUAUUAAUAUAAUUUGACAUGUCCUAUUAGUAUCUUCAAUAAGAAUCUCUCAGUGUAAUAGCUAGAUAUUCUAUAUGCAACUCAGAAUCACCUAAUACUGCAAGUACAGUCAUCAGAAAGAUUUAGAAAUAUAUAGAAAGAUAUAAGAGAGGGAGGAAGAUUGAGAGAACUUAGAAACCUCAAAUAUAUUUUUUUUGAGAGAGUAAAAACUAUAAAAUUUUAUAUUAAGGAAUAUGUGCAUUUUGGUAAUCUAAGUAUAUAUAAUAUUUAAGAUAAUUUUACUUAUUAGAAAGUGUGCAAGGUCAUUUCAAUUUUAAAUAUACACUCAAGUAAUGAAAGUCACUUUAUGAUAAUAGCUGAAAUGUAAUUUCCACAGAAUAUGGAAAUAUAAAACAACUAACAAUUUAGAAUAUAUAAAUUUAAAAUAUUAGCCUUAUAAAUGUUAUUUGACUACUCAGGAAUGUUUUAUUUCUGUGUUAAUUAAAAUAUGCUAAGGAAAUGAAAAAUAUUUAAUAUAUUAAAACUGUAAAUUCAGCUUAAAAUAUUCAAAGAAAUUUAAUUAACGAAGUUUGUAAAUGGAUUUUAUGUUAUCUAAAGUACUCUUAAAUGUAACUUUUAAUGCUUGCUUGAGAUAUAAAUAGAAUGUUAUGAAUUGUAUCCUAAAUUUAAAAGCUUAAUGAAUAAAUAAUUUUACUUGUAACUUUAUAUUAAUUGAAUAUUAAUCUUUAAAAUCUUAAUAGAUUUUUUAAUAGUCCUCAUUCAAUACACACACACACACACACACAACAUAUAUAACAAAGUCAAGGAAAAACUCAGCUCUGCCAUACUAUGUCAAAUGGAAUGUCAAAGAAAAUUCCAUAGAGGGAAAUAAGUUAAAGUAAACUGUGCUAACAUAACAUAGGGGAAAAUAUUAAAGUAAGAGUUAUAUAGCAUACAAGGGAUUGGUGGAUAAUCAAUUUUAGAAGAAAAAAUAACUAGAGAAAUAUACUAAAAAAUCAUUAUGUGCUUUACAUUAUAAGAUAAAAUUCUAAGUUGAGAUAAUAUGUAAAGUAAGUCUGAUGAGGUAAAAUGAACUUUUAAGACUUACAGAAACUAACCAAAAUGGAAGAAACAGGAUUAAACAAAUAAUACCUAAUACAUAAAUUACAAACAGAAGAGACAUUGGUGAUAAUUAAAACAUUGAGAUUGGGGGGGGGAAGCUAAUAUAAUUGUAAUGAAUCCAGAAGAAAAAGAGGAAGAGAGAUUAAAAUUAUUAAAUAAGUAGUUUAAUGCAUGUGUGGGACAAAGAGUAUAAUAUAAAACAUUUGGCUAUUUGAGGUUUCUAAAGUACAAUAACUCCACUAAGGAAAAUAAAAAAUUUCAAUGUUUGAAGAAUUGCUUUCUUGAGAUGAAUCAACAAAUGAAUUCAUAUAUUGCAAGUAAAAGUACACAUUGAUUUAGAAAAAUUACCUAAUCUGACUUACAUUGUUGAAUUUUAGAAAUAAAUAUCAGAGUUAAUGGAUAAACAAACAAACAAACAAACCCGUGCACUUAAUAGGAAAAUUCAGUCUGGAUUCCAAAUUAUGUAUAGAAUUUUACAAAGCCAGAUGGGGCAAUUUAUGAAGAGAAAAAUAGUAUAUCCUAACAGGGUUAUUCUCAGCUUAGUAGUCUUAACACUACAAAGGCAACAGAGAAAAUCUUAAUUAUACAAGGAGUCAUGGAAUAUAAAACCCAUGAGCUUAUGUUGGAGAGGAAAAAUGCAACUUGAUGACUAAAUCUAGGCAACCAAUAAAUGAAUAAAUAAUAGACAACGUGUCCAGUAGUAUGCUUUGGAUAAUUUAAUCUGAAGCUAAAACUAAGAGAGAAAAUGAUAGGAAAAGGUAGUGUAAUGUUUAUUAACUUUUAGAUAUAAGACUAAAAUAUAAUUCUACUUAUUACAUAUGGAGAGAGGGAAGGAUAACUAAGCAUAUGGAUUUUUUUUUUAAUUGGAGGGGAGUUAAUAAACAAUGUCUUUAUUUGUAUACCAAAAGUAAAGUUAUUCUCUUUUUAUUUAUUUAGAGAACUAGUAAAAAAUAACAAGUAAAAUGAAAUCUGCCAUUUAUGACAAUAUGGAUAGACCUAGAGGAAAUUGUGCUAAAUGAAAUAUAUCAGGCAGAGAAAGACAGAUACCAGAAACAAAACAAACACACAAACAGUAUCUAAAAAAGAAGCAGGCUGAUAAAUACAGAGAACAAACUAGUGGUUGCCAGAGGGAAGGGGAUUUGAGGAGAGGUAAAAUAGAUGAAGGGGAUUCAGAAGUGCACACUUUCAGUUAUAAAAUAAAUAAGAGGAUGACAAGUACAGCCUAGGGAAUACAGCCAAUAAUAUGAUGAUAACAUUGUGUGAUGACAGAUGGUAACUAUACUUAUUGUGGUGAGUGUAUCAUAAUGUAUAUAAUUGCUGAAUCACUAUGUUUCACAUAUGAAACUAAGAUAUAUCAGAUAUACUUAAUUUUUUUUAACGUUUAUUUAUUAUUGAGUGACAGAGAGACACAGAGCGUGAGCAGGGAAGGGGUAGAGAGAGGGGAAGACAAAGAAUCUGAAGUAGGCUCCAGGCUCUGAGCUGUCCGCACAGUUUAUGGGGCUCGAACUCACAAACUUUGAGAUCAUGACCUGAGCCAAAGUCGGUCACCUAACCAACUGAGCCACCCAGGCGCCCCUAUGUCAGAUAUACUUAAAUUAAAAAUUAAAAAGAACAACAGCAACAACAAAAGAAACUAAAAACAAAGUAACAGCAACUUUCUAAAUAGGAAACACCAUCCAUUAAAACAGCUGCAUGAACUUACACUAACGGAAGAGGGCACUCUGGAACUAAAAAUCUUGUAAACUACCCCAAAGUGCCAAGUCUAAAAACUAGUGGUUUACACCUAUACUAGAAGUUGACAAACUUUUCCCCAACAUAACUAGAUAUUAUAUAUUUUCAGCUGUGUGAGACAUACAAUUCUUGUCAUGUCUACUCAACUGUACUAAUAGUAUGCAGUCAGCCAUGGAUAAUAGAUAAAUAAUAGACAUGACUUUAUUCCAAUAACUUUGUUAACCAUAACAAGUGCCAGGCCUGAUUUGAUCUCUUGACUAUAGUUUAUGACCAUUAAUCUAAUCAUAUCUACUGUAAUAUGGAAAAUAAUCAAAAUAUUUUAGUCAAUGAAAGUUUCCUUCCAAAAUGACACUACUUGGAAAUAAAUUAAACACACUACAAAAUGAAGUGAAUAUUCUUGAACAAGUAUUCAAAAAUCACCGUGAAUCCUAAAUCCCAAAACAAAGAAAUGGGCAAAAAAGCAGGAAAAUAAGAGAGUGUAAUCAGGGAGGAAAGGAGAAAAAAUACCAAAACAGUGUCAGGAAUAAAAACUAAAUUACAAAGUGUUCAGUGAAGAAUAAGUUCCAAUGAAAAUUGAAUAAAAUGAAUUGAAUAAAAUUAGAAGAAUAAGAAAGAAAAUACAAAAUAAGGAAAGGAAUACGAAGUGUCAAAUACAAACUAAUUGAAAUGGAAGAGAAGCAACGGUAAUCAAAUCAUUAUAAUUUAAAUUCUUUUAGUGGAGAAAUGAAACAAUGAAAAGGAAAUUAUAUUUACAUCUAUAAUCUAAGAAAAUUUUUGAGAAACAAAGGAAGAAUUGAUAAAGAUACAUAGGACAAUUUACAAAAAACACUGAGACAAUUACUAUUAAAACUGUUGGGCUUUAGGGAUACCCGGGUGGCUCAGUCAGUUAAGUGCCUCUUGAUUUUGGCUCAGGUCAUGAUCUCAAGGUUUGUGAGUUUGAGCCCCGCAUUGGGCUCUGCACUGACAGUGCAGAACCUGCUUGGGAUUCUCUCUCUGCCCCCCCGACCUCUCUCUCUGUCAAAAUAAACAAAACAUUAAAAAAAAACUAUUGGGCUUUAAUAGUAAAGAAAUAAAUAAUGUUGAUCCCAGUUUUUGACAAGAAAAGUAUAAGAUGAACCUAGAAAAUAUAAGAAUAUGUUUUGUACCAGAAAAAAAAGAAUAUGUUGAAAAAAAAAAAGAUGGGGAACUGUCAAUCCAUAAAGGAGACAGAUUAAAGUGGCAUUAAAUUAAAAUAAAUACAAUUAAAUAUUUAUAACCUAUAGAAUAAAAGAAUCCAUCAGUCCACACUUACAUAAAUGAAUAUAAAAAUAAAUAGGGUAGAAGACAAAGCUCUUCAAUACAGUAUCAUAAAAAAAAAUACAUGUAGAUGAACUGCUAGGAUUAAAAGUCAUUAUUUGAGGGCCAUCCUGUUAAUAAUUAUUCAUGAAGAAGCUUUCAUGGAUGGUAAAACCAAUGAAUGAAAUUUUGUUGAGGUUAAGGACAUUUACAUAGUCAAAAUGUCUACCCACAAAUUAUUUAUUAAUAGCAAUGGGGGAAACGAUUACUUUACAGAAUAAAACCUGGCAGAUGCUACCUUAAUCAGGUGAUCAAAGUAAAUUAUCUACAGAAAAAGGAGAAAUAAAAAGCAUGUGCCAUAUGUUAGGAUUCAAAGAGAAGGAUACGACUCACUUUUGUUUUUUGUUUCAUUUCUCCAAAAAGAGUAGCCUGAAAUUAUUACUAGGAAAUAUCAAACUCAAAUUGAUGGAUAUUGCAUAAUAUAACUGAUGAAUUAAAGUGGCAUCUCAUUGUGAUUUUAAACUUGUUUUUUUUCCCUAUGAUUUAGAAAGUAGGCUAUAAUUCUUUAUGUCUGUGUUUGUUCUCCAACAAAAUACCUGUUAUUCAAUUAUUUUUGUAUUGAUUUUUAGGAAUUAUCUAUUAAAAUGCUGGUUUUGGCUACAUGCACUGAUCAUAUUUGCUUCAAUUUUUUUCAAAGUAUGUUAUUAAUUACAAUUUAAUUUAUCCAUAUUUUGUGUCAAACAUAAAUUUUAAACUUGCUUAACAUAUCCCCUCUACUCCAAAAUGAUAAAUAUAUUGUAUGUUAUACUUCUCUUAACAUUUUCAAUCUUUACUUCUCAUAUUUUAAACUUUUAAUCAUCUUCCUGAGCUUAUUGUUCUGUGACAGGAGAAAAAAAUGCAGUCAAAAAAAUAAUUGUCCUAGAACAAAAUUAUUUUGGGUAUUCUAUGAAGAUAAUUGCCUCAUCGAUGAAAUAUGACAUUUUUUUAUUCUUUCUUUCUAGUCCUUAGCUUUUUACUACAUUUAACUGUCUUACUGCAUUGUCAAAAAUCAUCAUUCAAUAAAAAAUAAAAUGGGAAAUAGUUGGUACCUAGUCCUCUUGAUUUUAAAAUGAAUGCUUCUGACAUUCCAACAUUAAAUAUGAUAAUUACACUAGAUUGGAGUAGGUAUCCAUUAUUCAGUGUAAAGAAGUUUUCUGCUACUCUUGGUUUAUUAAGAGCUUUUCUGAUUAAUCAGCAUUGCACUUUAUUGAAUGUACUUUCUGUUUCUAAUGAAAAGAUUAAGUGGUAUUUUGGUUUAAUUUUUUAAUACAGUACAAUUCCAUAAUAGACUUGCUAUUAGUAAACCAAACUUGUAUGCACAGCUUAAAAUUCAUCUGUCAUUAUGUACCAUAUUAUUUAAUAGUCCUGUACAAUUUGGCAAUAUUAUCUUAAAGAUUGUUUCACCCAUUUUCUUGUGUUGGUUGGAACUCUGCUUCUCCUUUCUUGUGGAGUCCUUGUCUAGGAUGCCAUGGUACAGACAGCAACCCCCAAGGAGACAACAAAAUGUUUAGCAAGAGGCUCAAACAUUGGGCAAAGACCUCUGGCAAAAUCAUGGAAAAUAUAUGGCAACAUCCGAUGAAUUUGAAACCUGCAGUGCACUGAAAGCAACCAUAGCAGCAGUAACAGCAACUAAUUUUUCUAUAAUAACAGCAGGAAUAAUAAUAAUAAUAAUAAUAAUAAUAAUAAUAGAUACAAUAAUAACACCAAAUAAUUUUACUCAUUUCUGAAUGAUUAACCCAGUCCCUUACACUAAUUCACUGAGAAGACAUGUGUCUAUUUACAAGUGCAAAUUAAAGAUUUUAAAACCUGUUAAGGGGGAACAAUUUCAGCAUCAGAUCUUUGUAACAUCUUCCCCCUCUCCAAUUUUAUUGAGAAAUAACUGAUCUAUAUCACCAUAUAAGUUUAAGGUAUACAGCAUGACAACUUGAUUUACAUAUAUUGUGAAGUGAUUACCACAAUAGGUGCAGCUAACAUACAUCUUCUCAUAUAGGUAUAAUAAAAAAAAAGAAAGUUCUCCUUAUUAAGAGAACUCUUAAUACUCUCUUAAGAACUUUCCUGUACUGUGGUGUUAGCGAUAAACCUCAUAUUGUGCAUUAUAUUCCUAGUACUUCUUAUUUAAACUUAUAACUGGAAGUUUGUAUCUUUGGGACACGUUCCUCCAUCCCCCUCCAUUCCUCCACCACUAUCUACCUCUGGUAACCACAAGUCUGAUCUUUUUUCUGUGAAUCUGGGUUUGUUUGUUUGUUUGUCUGUUUGUUUGUUUUAGAUUCCACAAAUAGGUGAGAUCAUAUAGUAGUUGUCUUUCUCUUGUUUACUCAUUUCACUUAAUAUAAUGCCUUUACAAGUUCAUUCAUGUUGUCAUUAAUGGUAGGAUUUCCACAUUUUUAAAAAAAUGUUUAUUUACUUAUUUUGAGAGAGAUAAAGAGAAUGAGCAGGGAGGGGCAGAGAGAGAGGGAGAGAGAGAGAAUCCCAACCCAAACAAGCUUCCCACAGUCAGUGCGGAGCCUGAUGCAGAGCUCAAACUCACAAACCAUGAGAUCAUGACCUGAGCCGAAACCAAGAGUGGGAUGCUUAACUGACUGAACCACCCAGGUUCCCCGGAUUUCCUCAUUUUUAAUGACUAAAUCUUUUUAAGGUGUUUUGGUCUUUCAGUUAAGGAGUUUUCUUGAGGCAGUAAAGUGUGACAAAUGAAAGUUUACCUCAUUUUUUUUUUUUUUUACCAUUUCUAAGGGCUUAUUGUCCUUCAUUUCCUAAUAUCCGCUGUUGAAAACCAUUGUUUCAUAUAUUUUGUCCAAUUCUGGGGCCUGGUGUUGUUUCAUAUGGGAUAGUAAUUCUGAUUUCCCUUAUUCUGUCUUGAAAGAUAUGAGGAAGCUAGUUAAAUGAAUACUUUAAGGAAAACUUCCAGGAAGAAGAACUAGCUUUUGGAGGAGUUACAAGGAAGCCAGUGAGGCUGGAGUAGAGUGAAAAAAAUCUUAUAUUUUUUGAACAAUUACUUCUGGGAAAGAAACAUGUUUUUAUUUAGUUCAAGUCCUAAACCAAUUUUAUUGAGGUAAAUUUUCUUUCUUUUUUUUUUUUUUUAAGUAGACUUGUAAAUUCCAGAUCUUCCUUUGCUUACAGAGGGAUUGCAUUCCAGUGAAUUCACUGUUAGUGGAAAAUAUCGUAAAUUGAAAAUGCAUUAAAUAUACCUAACUUACCAAACAUCACAGCUAUCCUAGCCUUCCCUAAAUGUGCUCAGAACACACAGUAGCCUACAGAUGGGCAAGAUCAUCUAACACCAAGCUUAUUUCAUUAUAAAGUGUUGAAUAGCUCAUGUAAUUUGUUGAAUACUGUACUGAAAGUGAAAAAGCAGAAUCACUGAAUGGGUAUAAAAUGGUUGUCAGUGUAUAGAUUGUUGACCCUUGUGAUCGCAUGGCUGUCUGGGAGCUACAGCUUACUACCACUGCCCAGCCUUAUGAGAGAUGUGAUAUUGUCUCAUAUAUCACUAACCCCAGGAAAAAAAUCCAAGUUGAAAAUUUGAAGCAGGGUAUUUACUAAAUGCACAUUGCUUUCCCACCAUUGUAGAGUAGAAAAUCAUAAGUCAAAGCAUCAUAAAUUGGGGACAGUCUGAAAUUACUUUCAAUAGUGAUGUAUAACUCAUAUUCGUUAUAGCAUGACAAAACAGAACACAGGACUCUAUAUCUACAAUUAUGUCUUGGGAAACAAAAAUUUUGAGUUUGUUAGAUAAAAAGUCCUAAGAAUUAUCAUUUCCUUGAGCUUGAGCAAUGAGAUUUCCUUCUAGCCAAUAUUUCAUUCUCAAGUUUAUGAAACUGUCAUAGUGACACAGGGUCUGGCGCCCGCAGACCCACACUUUUCAGACUCCAGCAGUUCCCUCUGGAGUUUCUCUGCUUUAGGUAAAUAUUGCUCAGUUCCUUUCAUCCAUGGUGCUUUCCUGAAUGUCAAAAUGCCAUUUUAAAAGGAUUCAACUUGGAGGGGCCAAAAUGGCGGAGAAGUAGGGGGAUCCAUACUUCUUGCAUCUCUCAAACAAAGAAGUGCAGAAGCCAAAGGACUUUGAACACCAAAGCCUGGGAGGAAAAGAGACUGAAUUUACUAGGAGAAAAUGUGAAAGCUGGAAAAAAGAUAGGGCUACUCCAAGGAACAAAUCAAAGAACACCUGGUGGAGGGCCCAAAAUAUCACUACAAGUAGGAUAAUAAAAUAAUCAAAGUCACAACAGCAGAGAGCAAGUAACAAUAUCCGAAAAAAUACCUCCUGAAGGGCCAGGCUGUGGACAGUGUAUGACCCUCCUUUAAUAUAGCAGGGCUUGCAGGUGCAGAGCACACAACAAGCUUUUAAAAUGCAUAAGGGACAGAAAACUAGCCAAAAUGAUGAAACAGAAGAAUUCUCCUCAAAAGAAAUUCCAGGAAGUAGAGACAGCUAACAAAUUGAUCAAAACCAAUUUAAGCAAUAUAACGGAACAUGAAUUUAGAAUAAUAGUCAUAAAAUUAAUUGCUGGGCUUGAAAAAAGCAUAGAGAGCAGAGAAUCUAUUGCUACAGAGAUCAAGGGACUAAAAAAUAGUCACGAUGAAUUAAAAAUAUUAUAAAUGAGGUGCAAAAUAAAAUGGAGGUGGCCACAGCACAGAUUGAAGAGGCAGAGGGGAGAAUAGGUGAAUUAGAAAAUAAAAUUAUGGAAAAAGAGGAAGGUGAGAAAAAGAGAGAUGAUACAAAAAUCCAGGAGUAUGAGGGGAGAAUUAGAGAGCUGAGUGAUGCAAUCAGACAGAACAAUAUCCGUAUCAUAGGGAUUCCAGAAGAAGAAGAAGAGAGAGAGAAAGGGGCUGAAGGUGUACUUGAACAUAUAAUAGCUGAGAACUUCCCUGAUCUGAGGAAGGAAGCAGGCAUUGAAAUCCAAGAGGCACAGAGAACUCCCUUCAGACGUAACUUGAAUCGAUCUUCUGCAUGACAUAUCAUAGUGAAACUGGCAAAAUACAAGGAUAAAGAGAGAAUUCUGAAAGCAGCUGGGGAUAAAUGGGCCUUAACAUACAAAGGUAGACACAAAAGGGUAGUAACAAACCUAUCUACUGAAACUUGGCAGGCCACAAAGGAAAAUCUUCAAUGUGAUGAAGAGGAAAAAUAUGCAGCCAAGAAUCCUUUACCCAGCAAGUUUAUCAUUCAGAAUAGAAGGAGAGAUAAAGGUUUUCCCAAUCAAACAAAAACUGAAGGAAUUCAUCACCACUAAACAAGCCCUACAAGAGUUCCUAAGGGGGACUCUGUGAGUGAAAUGGUGCAAGGACCACAAAGUACCAGAGAUACCACUACAAGCAUGAAACCUACAGAUAUAACAAUAACUCUAAACCCAUAUCUUUCAAUAAUAACACUUAAUGUAAAUGGACUAAAUGCACCAACCAAAAGACAUAGGGUAUCAGAAUAGGUAAAAAAAAAAAAAAGACCUAUCUAUUUGCUGUCUACAAGAGACUCAUCUUAGACCUGAGGACACCUUGAGAUUGAAAGUGAGGGGAUGGAGAACUAUCUAUCAUACUACUGGAAGUCAAAAGAAAGCUGGAGUAGCCAUACUUAUAUCAGAUGAACUAGACUUUAAAUUAAAGGCUGUAACAAGAGAUGAAGAAGGGUACUAUAUGAUAAUUACAGAGUUUAUCAGGAAAAGCUAACAAUUAUAACUUUCUAUGAACUGAUUCGCAAGCACCCAAAUACGUAAAACAAUUAAUCACAAACAUAAGCAACCUUAUUGAUAAGAAUGUGGUAAUUGCAGGAGACUUUAAUACUCCACUUAGAACAAUGGAUAGACCAUCUAGACAGAGAAUCAAUAAAGAAACAAGGGCCCUGAAUGAUACAUUGGAUCAGAUGGACUUGACAGAUAUAUUUAGAACUCUGUAUCCCAAAGCAACAGAAUAUACUUUCUUCUCGAGUGCACAUGGAACAUUGUCCAAGGUAGAUCACAUACUGGGUCACAAACAGCUAUUCAUAAGUAUAAAAGAAUUGAGACCAUACCAUGCACACUUUCAGACCACAAUGCUAUGAAACUUGAAAUCAACCACAGGAAAAAGUCUGGAAAACCUCCAAAAGCAUGGAGGUUAAAGAGCAUCCUACUAAAGAAUGAAUGGGUCAACCAGGCAAUUAGAGAAGAAAUUUAAAAAUAUAUGGAAACAAAUGAAAAUGAAAAUACAACAAUCCAAACGCUUUGGGAUGCAGCAAAAGCAGUCCUGAGGGGAAAAUACAUUGCAAUCCAGGCCUAUCUCAAGAAACAAGAAAAAUCCCAAAUACAAAAUCUAACAGCACACAUAAAGGUACUAGAAACAGAACAGCAAAAACACCCCAAACCCAGCAGCAGAAGAGAAAUAAUAAAGAUCAGAGCAGAAAUACACAAUAUAGAAGAAUGUAAAAAACUGUAGAGCAGAUCAAUGAAACCAAGAGUUGUUUUUUUGAAAAAUUAAAUAAAAUUGAUAAACCUUUAGCCAGGCUUCUCAAAAAGAAAAGGGAGAGGACCCCAAUAGAUAAAAUCACGAAUGAAAAUGGAAUUAUUACAACCAAUCCCUCAGAAAUGCAAGCAAUUAUCAGGGAAUACUAUGAAAAAUUAUAUGCCAACAAACUGGACAACCUGGAAGAAAUGGACAAAUUCCUAAGCACCCACGCACUUCCACACCUCAAACAGGAAGAAUUAGAAAAUUUGAACAGACCCGUAACCAGUGAAGAAAUUGAAUCAGUUAUCAAAAAUCUCUCAACAAGAAUCCAGGACC